rfam:Stegodyphus mimosarum contig64548, whole genome shotgun sequence.
GCCUUUGUGGUGUAGUGUUCAACACGCUCGACGCUUAUCCGAGAGGUCCGUAGUUCGAGUCCCGGCGAGGGCA